GACGAACGCUGGCGGCGUGCUUAACACAUGCAAGUCGAACGGAAAGGCCCUGCUUUUGUGGGGUGCUCGAGUGGCGAACGGGUGAGUAACACGUGAGUAACCUGCCCUUGACUUUGGGAUAACUUCAGGAAACUGGGGCUAAUACCGGAUAGGAGCUCCUGCUGCAUGGUGGGGGUUGGAAAGUUUCGGCGGUUGGGGAUGGACUCGCGGCUUAUCAGCUUGUUGGUGGGGUAGUGGCUUACCAAGGCUUUGACGGGUAGCCGGCCUGAGAGGGUGACCGGCCACAUUGGGACUGAGAUACGGCCCAGACUCCUACGGGAGGCAGCAGUGGGGAAUAUUGCACAAUGGGCGGAAGCCUGAUGCAGCAACGCCGCGUGCGGGAUGACGGCCUUCGGGUUGUAAACCGCUUUCGCCUGUGACGAAGCGUGAGUGACGGUAAUGGGUAAAGAAGCACCGCCUAACUAUGUG
rnacentral:rRNA from 1 species